GUCUUUAACGAAAAAUAGGUCAAACGACCAAACGCGCAGCAGUAAGCACAUUCCAAUUCCGCUUCACCAUAUGCGUUCUUUUGCUCGAAGAAUCAUGAGGAAAUCGUCCGUCUUGGCUUCGAUCCAUCAUCGUGUUUUGGCGGCAGGCUCCAUCACUCUUUCUUCGCAGCAACGCGCGUCGUUACGGUGUACGCUGGCGUCACGUUUUCACGACUCCACCGUCGCGUAUCUUCGCAUCGCAUUCGAUGUCACAUCCGCGGAUCACCCCCGUCCAUCAAUGGCAUUUGAUUCGCGUUCAAUCUUUCCUCUUGUCCUUCGCAUUCGUUUUUCGCUUAUCAUUCAUCAUCCAUCACGGUUCGAAUAUUCGUGAGCUCGACUCAAUCUGCUACGUGCGCAAAUAGAAAGAGGAAACAGAACGCGACAAUGGGAAUUGAAGCAAGAACGAAUGACUCACCGGUAAAAAAGCUGUGCUGCGAAUUGAGGGGUCGAAAUCGUUGUAGAUCGAUGAAGGAGAAGCUGCAGAGUGAUGGAGAAGAGAAAUUAUUGCGGGAUGAUGAAGAAGAAGAAUGAAGGUUCAGUUGAAGAAUCUUGGCUGCGGCGGAUUUUCGAUUGUAGAAUUCUGAUGCAGAAUUGAAGAACGAAGGCUCAUGGAUGACGAAGGUGGGAUUAAGAGAGAUGAAGAAGAAGAUUGAAGGAGAAUAUGAAAAAACUAUGAACAGAAUGAUGGAAACAGGAGGUGCUUCUAAGUCGCGAUCGGCUGCCGUCCUUGUUGCUGGAUCAGUGCCCUAUUUCUGAGUUGGCAACAUUCAAUGUUUUCAUCAUUGCCCCAAAAUUUCUGGAGGGAAACUAUUUGUUUAGAAGUAGUUACAAUAAUGAAAAGGUGGCUAUUGGGUAAAUGAAUGUCAAUUAGCCAAUUAAUUGGUAACAAGAAAAAAGUCAGUAAGAACUGUCAUGGACUGUGUGGAAGUGGUGUGUAUGUAGUCAUGUCCUACUCCGGUCUGAUAGUGCAUUUAAGUUUUUUGAUUUUAUGUGAGAGAGUCAACGCAAUUACUAGUAUACCCUCCAUUAAAUUGUCUUCUAGUAACAAUAAAAUAAUUAAUGCAAGGGUAUUUUUGAAAUAAAGGCAUUAAAUGCACCUAGAUUUGUUGA